GAGUUUGAUCUUGGCUCAGAUUGAACGCUGGCGGCAGGCCUAACACAUGCAAGUCGAGCGGAUGACGGGAGCUUGCUCCUUGAUUCAGCGGCGGACGGGUGAGUAAUGCCUGGGAAUCUGCCUGGUAGUGGGGGACAACGUUUCGAAAGGAACGCUAAUACCGCAUACGUCCUACGGGAGAAAGCAGGGGACCUUCGGGCCUUGCGCUAUCAGAUGAGCCUAGGUCGGAUUAGCUAGUUGGUGGGGUAAUGGCUCACCAAGGCGACGAUCCGUAACUGGUCUGAGAGGAUGAUCAGUCACACUGGAACUGAGACACGGUCCAGACUCCUGCGGGAGGCAGCAGUGGGGAAUAUUGGACAAUGGGCGAAAGCCUGAUCCAGCCAUGCCGCGUGUGUGAAGAAGGUCUUCGGAUUGUAAAGCACUUUAAGUUGGGAGGAAGGGCAGUAAGUUAAUACCUUGCUGUUUUGACGUUACCGACAGAAUAAGCACCGGCUAACUCUGUGCCAGCCGCCG
rnacentral:rRNA from 1 species